AAGUAGGUGAACAAGCUGGAAAGCUUGGCGAUACAGGGUGAUAGCCCCGUAACCGACGCUUCAUCGAGCGUGAAAUCGAGUAGGGCGGGACACGUGAUAUCCUGUCUGAAUAUGGGGGGACCAUCCUCCAAGGCUAAAUACUCCUGACUGACCGAUAGUGAACCAGUACCGUGAGGGAAAGGCGAAAAGAACCCCUGUGAGGGGAGUGAAAUAGAACCUGAAACCGUGUACGUACAAGCAGUAGGAGCACCUUCGUGGUGUGACUGCGUACCUUUUGUAUAAUGGGUCAGCGACUUAUAUUCAGUGGCAAGGUUAACCGUAUAGGGGAGCCGUAGCGAAAGCGAGUCUUAACUGGGCGCUCAGUCUCUGGAUAUAGACCCGAAACCGGGUGAUCUAGCCAUGGGCAGGUUGAAGGUUGAGUAACAUCAACUGGAGGACCGAACCGACUAAUGUUGAAAAAUUAGCGGAUGACUUGUGGCUAGGGGUGAAAGGCCAAUCAAACUCGGAGAUAGCUGGUUCUCCCCGAAAGCUAUUUAGGUAGCGCCUCGGACGAAUACUACUGGGGGUAGAGCACUGUUAAGGCUAGGGGGUCAUCCCGACUUACCAACCCUUUGCAAACUCCGAAUACCAGUAAGUACUAUCCGGGAGACACACGGCGGGUGCUAACGUCCGUCGUGGAGAGGGAAACAACCCAGACCGCCAGCUAAGGUCCCAAAGUAUUGCUAAGUGGGAAACGAUGUGGGAAGGCUCAGACAGCUAGGAUGUUGGCUUAGAAGCAGCCAUCAUUUAAAGAAAGCGUAAUAGCUCACUAGUCGAGUCGGCCUGCGCGGAAGAUGUAACGGGGCUAAGCAAUACACCGAAGCUGCGGCAAUAUCUUUUAGAUAUUGGGUAGGGGAGCGUUCUGUAAGCCGUUGAAGGUGAAUCGUAAGGUUUGCUGGAGGUAUCAGAAGUGCGAAUGCUGACAUGAGUAACGACAAAGGGGGUGAAAAACCUCCUCGCCGGAAGACCAAGGGUUCCUGUCCAACGUUAAUCGGGGCAGGGUGAGUCGACCCCUAAGGUGAGGCCGAAAGGCGUAAUCGAUGGGAAACGGGUUAAUAUUCCCGUACUUCUGACUAUUGCGAUGGGGGGACGGAGAAGGCUAGGUGGGCCAGGCGACGGUUGUCCUGGUUCAAGUGCGUAGGCUUGAGAGUUAGGUAAAUCCGGCUCUCUCUAAGGCUGAGACACGACGUCGAGCUGCUACGGCAGUGAAGUCAUUGAUGCCAUGCUUCCAGGAAAAGCCUCUAAGCUUCAGAUAGUCAGGAAUCGUACCCCAAACCGACACAGGUGGUCGGGUAGAGAAUACCAAGGCGCUUGAGAGAACUCGGGUGAAGGAACUAGGCAAAAUGGUACCGUAACUUCGGGAGAAGGUACGCUCUUGAUGGUGAAGUCCCUCGCGGAUGGAGCUGACGAGAGUCGCAGAUACCAGGUGGCUGCAACUGUUUAUUAAAAACACAGCACUGUGCAAAAUCGCAAGAUGACGUAUACGGUGUGACGCCUGCCCGGUGCCGGAAGGUUAAUUGAUGGGGUUAGCGCAAGCGAAGCUCUUGAUCGAAGCCCCGGUAAACGGCGGCCGUAACUAUAACGGUCCUAAGGUAGCGAAAUUCCUUGUCGGGUAAGUUCCGACCUGCACGAAUGGCGUAAUGAUGGCCACGCUGUCUCCACCCGAGACUCAGUGAAAUUGAAAUCGCUGUGAAGAUGCAGUGUACCCGCGGCUAGACGGAAAGACCCCGUGAACCUUUACUACAGCUUGGCACUGAACAUUGAACCUACAUGUGUAGGAUAGGUGGGAGGCUAUGAAGACGUGACGCCAGUUGCGUUGGAGCCGUCCUUGAAAUACCACCCUUGUAUGUUUGAUGUUCUAACUUAGACCCGUUAUCCGGGUUGAGGACAGUGCCUGGUGGGUAGUUUGACUGGGGCGGUCUCCUCCCAAAGAGUAACGGAGGAGCACGAAGGUGGGCUAAUCACGGUUGGACAUCGUGAGGUUAGUGCAAUGGCAUAAGCCCGCUUAACUGCGAGAAUGACGGUUCGAGCAGGUGCGAAAGCAGGUCAUAGUGAUCCGGUGGUUCUGUAUGGAAGGGCCAUCGCUCAACGGAUAAAAGGUACUCCGGGGAUAACAGGCUGAUACCGCCCAAGAGUUCAUAUCGACGGCGGUGUUUGGCACCUCGAUGUCGGCUCAUCACAUCCUGGGGCUGAAGUCGGUCCCAAGGGUAUGGCUGUUCGCCAUUUAAAGUGGUACGCGAGCUGGGUUUAGAACGUCGUGAGACAGUUCGGUCCCUAUCUGCCGUGGGCGUUGGAAGAUUGAAGGGGGCUGCUCCUAGUACGAGAGGACCGGAGUGGACGAACCUCUGGUGUUCGGGUUGUGUCGCCAGACGCAUUGCCCGGUAGCUAAGUUCGGAAUUGAUAAGCGCUGAAAGCAUCUAAGCGCGAAGCGAGCCCUGAGAUGAGUCUUCCCUGAUACUUUAAGUAUCCUAAAGGGUUGUUCGAGACUAGAACGUUGAUAGGCAGGGUGUGUAAGCGUUGUGAGGCGUUGAGCUAACCUGUACUAAUUGCCCGUGAGGCUUAACCA
rnacentral:rRNA from 1 species